GCGUACCUUUUGUAUAAUGGGUCAGCGACUUAUAUUCUGUAGCAAGGUUAACCGAAUAGGGGAGCCGAAGGGAAACCGAGUCUUAACUGGGCGUUAAGUUGCAGGGUAUAGACCCGAAACCCGGUGAUCUAGCCAUGGGCAGGUUGAAGGUUGGGUAACACUAACUGGAGGACCGAACCGACUAAUGUUGAAAAAUUAGCGGAUGACUUGUGGCUGGGGGUGAAAGGCCAAUCAAACCGGGAGAUAGCUGGUUCUCCCCGAAAGCUAUUUAGGUAGCGCCUCGUGAAUUCAUCUCCGGGGGUAGAGCACUGUUUCGGCAAGGGGGUCAUCCCGACUUACCAACCCGAUGCAAACUGCGAAUACCGGAGAAUGUUAUCACGGGAGACACACGGCGGGUGCUAACGUCCGUCGUGAAGAGGGAAACAACCCAGACCGCCAGCUAAGGUCCCAAAGUCAUGGUUAAGUGGGAAACGAUGUGGGAAGGCCCAGACAGCCAGGAUGUUGGCUUAGAAGCAGCCAUCAUUUAAAGAAAGCGUAAUAGCUCACUGGUCGAGUCGGCCUGCGCGGAAGAUGUAACGGGGCUAAACCAUG
rnacentral:rRNA from 1 species